UGACGGCAGUUUCAAAUACUAAAUAUUUCCAUACAAUUUUGGUUCAUCUAAAACAACUGGGUCUUGGGCUGUUUGUGGUAUAUCUCUCCUUAUAUAGGCUCUUUUGUGUGCGUGACUGUGUGCUAUUUCAUAUUACUAACUUGAAAUCAUAUUACAACCCAAUCAGGGAGGCCCUGAUUGAAUAUGGCCCGGCACUGACCCAUUG